UCUCUAGUCUCGCCUAAAUUAAUCUUGAGUAAAUUUUGUAACUUUGCGAUGUGAUUUAAGUGUUUACUUUUUUGUCCUUUCUACUAAUGUUUAAUGUCUAAGGUUCUGAGUGAAUCAGGUCAACUGUUUUAGUGUAAUUUUCAUUGUUAAUACAGAGAGCAGUAAUAAUUUUAAAUUUUGAAAAGUUAAUUAAUGGUAGUAUUGACGAUUUGUAGUGUGUCGUUUAAAAUUUGUGUUCUCAAAACCUACAUUUUAUUGUAGCCAACUUCAGUGCUAUAUAGUAAUAAUGGACAUUGAAGAAGGCGAAAUACAUUCUGAUGAAUCCAACUGUUCUAACAGAUUCAGUAGACGUGGUAGAAGAAACUUUUCUGAGGAAAGAACUUCGUCAAGGAUAACACCACUAAAAAGUUAUGAGCAGUCAACAAAACACUUAAAGAAGACAGGAAAAAUAUCUCAUUUUUCUGAACGUUCGAGUAAAAGAAGUAAUUAUGACUAUGUGCACGAUUCUACAAAAAGGAAGAAACAUAAGCGUAAAUCAAAAAGUGAGCGUAUGAAGGGUGUAUUUGACCAUAGAAGCAAAAUUAUUACAAAGGACAUACUGUUCAGUCAGCAAAAUACAAAUACUUUGUUAGAGAAAGUAGUUUCUAAAUCUGGACUAAGUUCUGUACCAUCAGCAACUGCUACUCAACCCUUUCAAUAUUCACUAAUGAACAAGCUUAUCACAGCUGGGUUGGCUAAAACACAAUUACCUGUUCUAGAUAGUCAGGUACGGAAACCAUCAAACAAUCUUGUUCCAAAAGUAGAAGAAACAAAAGAAGAUGAUGAUAGUGAAAUUGAAGUGAUUACCCCACCAAAGAAAGUACCACCUGUUGUAACUUUGGAUUCUGAUGGAGAAGAACUUGAGGUGAUUGUACAAGGGAGUGUUCAUGAAAGUUCAGUAGAAAUAGUUAAUCUGACUGGAUCUAUUGAAAAUUUACAUGGAGAGACUCAGAAGUCAGAAAAUGAAGAAUCAAUUAGUUUACCUUCAUGUAACAAAGGUUAUUCCAGUGAUAAUGUUUCUGUCAAAUGUUUAGAUUCAGAUGAAGUUCCAUAUACACCUUCAAGCCCUUCUUCUUGUAAUAGUCUUAUAGAAAACGAAAUACGAAAUCCUGAAUUAUCGUCUGUAGAAUCAUGUCACUCUCUCGAAGUUGAAGGCAACUGCUCUAGCAACUCUCAUACAAGUCAAGAAGUGACUUCAGCAAGAUGUGACCAAUACAUUUCACCACUAAAAAUACCAAAGUUAACGUUUGGUAACCAGAUCUCAGUAUAUUCUGAAACUUUUCUAAACAAUGAUACUGAAAAAGACAUCAGUACCACCUGUCAUUCUGAUAACAGUUCAAAUGAGAAACAAGUAGAGUCAUGUGUAGGUGUAACCCAAAAUCUAGAAAAAGAUCAUAGCUCUGGCAUGAAUGAUACUUCAGCAAAAGAAGACAUUCUUUCUGAACGUAACAAGUUGAACAUCUCAGAUUCUAAUAAUUUCAGGAAUAAUUCAAGCAGAAACAAUGAGGAGUGUAUAUUAAUUUCAGAUCAAAAUUUUAAUAUUAAAAGCUCAUCUUCAGAUACAAAUUUAAAAGAGAAUGACAUUUCUGAUACAAAUGUGGAAGUUAAUAGUCAAUCUUCUGUAGAUAAUGCAACAACCAACUUCCCUUUUAAUUGUUGUGAGAAGAAAACUUCUGAAAAUACCUCUGAUAUUUCAGAUGAAAGCACUAACCCUACAGAUAAUAACAUAGGAGAAACAUUAGAAAAGAAUCUAGACUUAACUAAUAAACAAGAAGCUUGUAGUUUUUUACCUGGUUAUGAUGAUAAGUGUCCUCUGAAUAUUGAUCAGAGUUUUAAGGAGACAUCCACAGUAAAGGAAAGAAAUGAAAAUUCGACAAAUGACGUAAAUGCUAUACAAAUCAAAGAAAAUCAUUUAGACCUUGAGUUGAGAACCUAUUCCUGUCCUGAGAGUGACAAAUUUGAAUUAGAACCAAAUACUUUGUGUGAUAAAAUCCUACAAAGUGACGACGAAGAAGAUAUUUCAAAGUUACGACUUAUUGCACUCUCUACUAAAGGAAAAACUAAUCAAAAUCUAAACACAAGUAAAGAAAAUAACAACUGUAAGGAAACUGUAUCCCAAUCAAACACUUCGGCUGAUGAUGAUGAUUAUGAAAAUGAAGAAGAAGAAGUAUUGCAACUCCGUGUUGCAGCACUAAAGUCAGCAGUCAUAAAGAAGCACGAGGAACGUAAAAAAAGAGGACUUAUUGUAAAAAAAAGGAAGCGGGGAAGUAGUGGUAAUGCAGAUGAUUUUGUUAUUCCAAGUUUAAGUGGCCACGAGGUUCUUCUGUCAGAAAACAGUGUGACUUCCAAGCAAAGUGAACUUGAAUGCCCUAGGUCACCAGAGACUGUUCAAGGUGAAGAGGACAUGGAAAUUGAUUCUGAUUCAAUUGGGGAUAUUAUAGAAAAUAAUAAUACCCAAAAGACACCUCAAAUGAUCAGUGAUUCUAAUACUUGCAAGCCUCCCUUAUCUAACUGUGAUACUAUAUCUGAUACGUUAUUUAAUACCUACAUGCCUCCUUCAAUUCCACUUAUACCUCCUCAACCGUUACCUCCAGGUGUGGAUAUGGACUAUUCAGUUAUAUGUCUUAAUGAAUCCCAGCCUCAAAACCUUUGUCACUCAACACAAUUUCCCCCUGUUUUACCUCCACCACCUCCACCCCCUUCUUUAGUAUUUCCUUCAUUACUUGCACCACCACCACCCCCACCUCCCCUUCCUCCACCACCUUCACCCCCUACCAUAUGCCUUGACACUCCUCUCUCACCGCAAUUGAACGGUUCAACACAGGAUCCACUACCCGUUAUUUAUACGAAUACCUUACAAUUACCUGUCACUCCUGAUCCCACUUAUCACAUUGAAAAUGUCUUAGCUGAAGUAGGCUAUUCAGAAGUUAUUGAAAGAAAUGAAAAAUCAAAUUGUGAUUUUCUGUUAUCAGAACAGCCCUUCCAAUCACAACAUAGUAAAUGUUCCAACAGUUCAGACAUAGAUGUUAACCAGUUAAGGCCAAAUUUGAAAACUAUUCCAGUUCUCAAGAAUCUCCCAAAGAAAGUUUUAACAAAAAAAAUACCUAAGAAAGUUAGAAAACGCGGUAAGAAAAGUAAAGUGUUAAAUAAACUAAAAACAUUUGAACCUGAACUGUUGUGUAUUACAAAUACUCCAGCAUCCUUUAAAAGUAAAAAUAAAAUGAAUUUUAAGUCACACAUACAGUGUAAUUUCACCACUACAGACUCUUCCAAAGAAGACACUAAGCUUUUAAUAAACCUUGAAGAAGAUAAUGCAAUCCCUUUGUGUACUAUUGACCCAUCCUUAGAAGAUAACAACAGAACAUGUACUCAAAAUCCAAAUUCUGAGAGUUUACACAAAGAGGAUAUUUAUAGCGACAGUAUAGAUCUAAAUACUUGUAGUGAAAAACUCUCCGAUUCAAAUUCUCUAGAGGAUAAAUCCUAUAGCGUAGAAGAUGAAAUGGAUUUAUCUGAUAUGAUAGUAUUAGAUGAAGUUGGUCCUGAGAGUCCUGAAUGCAAAAUAAGAAUUGAUGUUGAUAAAGAGUGCUCCACAGCAAAAGAAAAAGAUGAGGAAGAUGAAAAUACUUUAAGGGUUCAAGCAUUAACAUCUUUAUCAAUAAAAACUAUACCAAUAAAACAUAAUACUGCUUCUACUCUGUCCCCGAAACCACAAGUUAAAUGUAAUCCACCUUAUCACAGAGAAAACCACAAUAGGACAAUUCUAUAUUCUAAAGAGGAAGAGAGAUUUAGAAAUAAUGAUACAAAGUUUGGAAAUGUAUCUGUGACUCACAGAAAGAAUAUUAAUAAUGAUCUCUCCAAGUAUAAAUUGAAUAGGGUUGUGUCUAGUGAGCCACGAAGAAGUGUGGUGAGAGAAAGAGAAUCAUUAAAGGUGGUAAUACCAUCGCAAUCACCUCCACUUUCUUUAUUACCAGAAGCCUCUCCUCCCAUGACGAAAAGAUUUGUUAUCAACGUCGGUCCAGACUCUGAUAGUGACGAGGAGGUUGAGUGGAUGCGUAGGGUCCACAUACAAGAAAACCCUGAGCCACCACCUCAAGUAAACUUAGAUUUGGAGCGUAGCAUAGAUUUGUUGCUCAUGAAUGCUCGUCAGAAAGUAGGGAAAUCUCAGCCUCCCCCAAUUAAACCAGACCUGACUAAACGUGUUGCAUUGAGACCAAAUAGAUGUUUAACUCCAGAUUCAAAGAAAGAGCAAGAUUCUGAUCUCUUAGAUACUCCUCUGCGUUUAUUGCCAAAGGAGCAACAGGAAGAAUAUCAAAGGUUAAAGAAAAUUAUAGAAGAAAGAGAAAGUAAAAAAAAGUUACAACAAAAAAGAGCAAUACUAAACAAAGAAAUGAAAAAAUCUCCAAUCCCGAUACAACAUGUUUUGACAGAUGAGGCCAAUAAGCAUAAACCGAGUACUGGGGAAACUAAGCGCAAGUUAAUUUCCAGUAGUGAUUCAGAAAAUGUUACAGACACUAAAGGAUCCUUGUCUUCAUUGGCAUGUAUUAAUCCUAAAAAACAGUCAGAUCUUAAAACAAAACUUGAACAUACAGACAAAUGUGUUUUAUUAAGAGAAUGUCAUGAAAAUAGAAGUUUUGUAGAAGAGGAAAAUGAUACAUUAACUAAUAAUAAAAAUGUUCAUUCAAGUGGUGGAAAUCAAACUGAAUCAAAAACACUAGAUACUUUUUCAGAUACGGAAAAAGAAAAGAAGAUAUCACAAUUCAAAACCAAAGUAAAAAAUUUUUGCUUUGAAAUUUUAGAAGGUUGUUCAAUUGAUAAUGGUAAUAACAUGAUCCAAAAGUCCAAUACCAAAGAGAUGAGUUCAGUUAAUCCUGAUACAGUUAGUUGUACGGGCAGUGAUGGCUUGAAUGCUGUAAACAUUGAUAAAGGAACACAAAAUGAUCUGAGAUACGAGCCUUCAGUUAGUGCAGAUAAAGGUGUGAAAGGAAAACAUAAGUAUGUUGAUAAUGAAAUCCUUACUGAUAAUCACACAGAUUCAUCUGUAAAUAAUGGUGAAAUAGUUCAGUCAGCAAGUCAUACAGAUAUAUCACAAUGUGAAUUGCAAAAUAGUGUUACUAGUAAUCCUUUAUUUGAAAACACUAUUAUAACGGAGUGUAGUGGUGAAUCAAUGGAAGUAUUAACAAUGCCACCAUUCAAAGACACAUGUUUAAAGGAUAUAACUCAAACAUGUAAAGAGUAUGAAAUUAAUACUUCAAAAAUUAUGAAAAAAUCUCAAAUGUUAGCUGAAAAUGGUAUUGAGGUUGUUACUCAUAAGGCAUUAGAUUCAGUGAAUAACACAGAAACAAAUGUUCCUUCUAAUAAUGAAAUAAAGAAUGAUAAGAUUGUAACCACAUUGUUAACUCACAAAAUCCAAAAAGUGACUUGUAACAGUGGUAAAGAGAGUGGCACAGCAUUUGAUGGACAAACUUCAACGAGGGUAGUCUCCAAUGAGGAAGUAGAGUAUACAAAAAGUCACAGUAUAGAGAUGUCUGUUAUUAAUACGAGUUCAUGUAAAACAGCUUGCCGUCAAUCAGAUAUUUGCAGUGUUCAGAAAAAAUCUACAGACUCAGAAAUUCUGCUCUCAAAUCAGUCAGAGCUGCUAAAUGAAAGGUUCACACUGAUAGACGAGUUAACCGAUAUGUCAGAAGUAUUGACACAGCUGGAGCGAGAGAAGUCGCAGCUGGAUGAGGUUAUGGCUAGUGUUAGUCGUUUCCGAAAGGCAUUGCGGCAAGCUGAGACUCGCCUGUGUAAUCUGCACGCUGGGACACAACAGCUGCAGCAAAGUGUGAAUGCUAUACAACAGGCUGUUACAACACGCUACUCCCACAUUCAGCAUCUAGAAGAUAGCUGUCGAGAUCUGGGUCAUCAAUUGCGUGGGACAGACUACGAAAUACCACCUACUGGAAAAGAAUUGGUAGAGAAGAAAAUGAAGUUAGUUGCUGAGAAAAGAAACAAGAUAAAUACUAAAAGAAAAGAAAUCAAGGUAAAACGCAUUACACUGAAACACCCUACACGUUCACAUUCCAAACUCUCAAGAGGAAAUAAUAGUCAAACAGAUAUCUUAUCAGUAUCAAGCCUGGUGACUCCAGCAAGCACUUGUGCUGUAACAACCUCAACUGUAUGUUCUCCAUUAAGAAUAGAAGAUGAAAAGAGAACAGAUUCCACAGAACAAGAAUCUCUGUCUUUUCCUUUAUUGGUUACAGGAAAAAGUAGAACAAAAUCUUCAGAUCUAGAAGCAAUAUCCGGCCAGACUUCAAAAAGUUCUGAUUUUUCUGUGACUUCUCUACCAGUUGAGUCAGUGCACAGUCAAUUAAGUGUUUCAGAAAACUCAUUGUUAAAUGUACAAUGUCCUCAAAAGCCAACUUUGCACCAUAUUUCAUCAGGAAAUUUGGAGAGUUUACAGCCAAAGAAGCAUAGUAACCUAAAUCCUGCCUUGAAUCAGAAAACUGAAGAAACAGUUUCUUUAAAACGUCCAAUUGAUAAUGUUAUCACCGAUUUGAGUAAUGUUCAGUGUCAAAAAAAGCUUUCUCUGAAUCGAAUAGAGACAAUAACAAAUGUUCAAAGUGAAGAGAUUAAUAAAAAUGUCCCUUUGCGUAAUAUCAAGAACUCAACUACUAAAUCCAGCCAAAAAUCAGUGCCCCGAUACAAGUCGUUACUUCGAUACAGGUCAUCUGUUAAUAGGACAGUAAGCAAUGUACCGUCAAGCACAGAAGCCAUCUUGUGUCCAUUCGACCUCUCUGGAAAGUGUCAAGAUACUCAGUGUCCAUAUUUGCAUUUACCUGACUCAUGUUACAGAUGAUGGGCGUCUGUGAAUGUCCUUCACAAACAAAGUACAACAGCAUGUGUUCAGUGACCUCUACAAUCAUGCCUAGUCUUCAUGUGAAGCACAGGAAGCCAGACAGAAUCACAAGCUGACUGAUAAUGUUUGUGAGUGAACUCUUAGUGUUUACUGUAACUAGUCAAGAGAGAAGAAUAUACCCAGCAACGCCAAGUUGAGUGGACUUAGUCGUACUUACUUCUAGACCUGUUGUUAGUGGUCUUGUAUGUAUGAGUGAAGAUAAUUUUGUACUCAAUAAACAGAGUUUUGUAAU